GCUCUUCUAGUAUAUUUAUUACAAUUGACUUCCAAUCUCUAGAAUCUGGAUCACCCCAGAGAAGAGCA
rnacentral:tRNA from 1 species